ACUUCCUAUCGGGAGGCAGCAGUGGGGAAUAUUGCACAAUGGGCGCAAGCCUGAAUGCAGCCAUGCCGCGUGUAUGAAGAAGGCCUUUCGGGUUGUAAAAGUACUUUCAGCAGUGAGGAAGGUGGAUAUGUUAAUAGCAUAUUCAUUUGACGUUAGUCUGCAAGAAAGAAGCACCGGCUAACUCCGUGCCAGCAGCCGCGGUAAUACGGAGGGUGCGAGCGUUAAUCGGAAUUACUGGGCGUAAAGCGCAUGCAGGUGGUUUGUUAAGUCCAGAUGUGAAAAGCCCGGGGCUCAAGCCUCGGAACUGACAUUUGAAACUGGCAAGACCUAGAGUCUU
rnacentral:rRNA from 1 species